AAACACAAACCUAGUACGCCACUUUCCCGCUCGCUUUUAAGGUUCAAAACAUUAUAAACCUAUGCCUAUGUCCACUGUCCACACUAUUUCUUGUCACUUUCACGCGAAAACUAGACGGAAAAUUUUUCUCUUUUCAUUUUCCAUGCGAACAGAACAAAAUAUAGAAAUUUAGAUUCCGAACUAAAACUAUGAAUUCCCCUGAGUCCAAUCGGGUCGCCGCCACGUCAUCACCCAGUUCUUCCAACAAGUCUCCGCCUGUGCAAGAAUCACCAUUCUCCAAUUUCCUUAGCAAUCUCUCCCCUAUAAAGUCAGUUAAGGCAGUACGUUAUACACAAAGGUUUUUGGAAUCUAAUUUUCCAACCCCACCGCCCGUGUUUACAUCACCUCGCAUAGAUCUGCAGAGAGAGACUGGUCUUCUGGAAAGAAACAAUAUAGUUGAAGAAGAUUCAAAUAUUCGUGAACAGUGUAAUACCCAGUUGAGUGUUGCACAAAUUCCUAGCUUAGAGAAGGAAGUCCAAUCAUGCAGUCCUUCAGGGAGUGUUGAUGAAUAUCUGGCAGAUAUUGUGGAGGUGGACUGUACACAUUCAGCACAUAAACAUUUGCAAUUAGCUAAUCAAGUGUCUCAAAUGUUACAGGGUGGUUUCACUGACCCCAAAGAAACCCCAAAAGAAACCAUAAGAAAAGUUGACACUGUGGAUAGCAGGAGCAGUAGAGAGGCUAGAACUCUGACAUCAUCCGAUCAAGCCAAACAGAAUUUACCUUUAACUUCACUUAAUUUGGUUGAUGAUUUAGUUGAUUUGAGGAAUGAUGAAAGUUUUAAUGUUUUCCUAAAGAUUACAUCUGAAGAUGUCAAUGACAUUGUUGAUUCUGAUGUGAAUCUAAACACUGCUUUAGGAGCGCAACAAUAUGCAGCUCAGUCACUUUCUGAAUCUUUGCAGAUUGACGAGGCGUUUGAAGAUUCUGAUGACAGUUCAAGAGCAUUACCAAAAGAAUUUGUGAAGGAGGCCAAUCAUCACCAACGUGGUAUACGUAGACAUCUUCAUUUUGAAGCUGCUUUAGCCUGCAAGAGUGUAGCUACUGGAAAUACAACCAAUUCAAGGGCUAGCCUAACAAACUUGAAGAGUCUGGGUUUGUCUCAUGUUGAAAGUAGGGUAACCUCCAGUGGUGGGGAGGCAGUCAACUAUGCUCAGUCCAGGGCUUCCAAGUCCUCUUUUGGCCCCUUUGAAGUGGUGAGAUCUACUCAAAAUAGCAGGAAUCCUGUAAUCUUGUCCCCGAUUCCAUCUGGUAUGGGGUUACAUCUAAAUAGCACUGUCAGAUCUGUGUCCUUGGGCACGGAUAUGUUUGCAUGUGAGAACUUAACUAGGUAUGGAAGUUCACAAGAUAAGGAAGUUCAUGAGAGGAGCAAUGAUUCAGCAGAAGAACCAAAUAAUACCUCAAUUUCAGCUGUAGCUGGGACUAUGUAUUCUUAUACAGAUAUAGAUCAGCAGGAAAGUCAAGCUGGUGUGGCAGCCAGUUCUGACACCUACCCUAUCAACAGUCUGAAUCCCCCAUGUGAUUCUCCUUUGGCACGAACUGAGCAGCAGGUUAUUCCAUGUGAGGGGAGAAUAUCUACUCCACAAAAUGCUGACAGUGUUGAGGAGUUGAACCAAGAGAGCUCCAAUAAGAAAAGGAAGAGGCCAUCAAACACAAGUGAGAGUCAUGGCUGCAAACGUUGCAAUUGUAAGAGGUCCAAAUGCUUAAAACUUUAUUGUGAGUGCUUUGCGGCUGGAGUUUAUUGUGUGGAUUCUUGCGCAUGCGUAAACUGCUUUAACAAGCCUGAAUAUGAGGACACAGUUCUUGAUAUACGACAGCAAAUCGAAUCUCGUAAUCCUCUUGCAUUUGCUCCAAAGGUUGUUAAGCUUGACACUGACUCUCCAGCAAUAAUUAUGGAAGCAGGGAACCGGAAUACUCCAUCAUCAGCCAGGCACAAAAGAGGAUGCAAUUGUAAAAAAUCAAAGUGCCUUAAAAAAUAUUGUGAAUGCUACCAGGCUAAUGUUGGAUGCUCUGAUGGAUGUCGAUGUGAGGGUUGUCAAAAUUCUUUUGGAACAAGUUCAGAAUGCAGGAGAGUUGAAAACCCAUCUCAUGAGGUGAGUGGAAAGGAUGGGAGUAUUGAGCAAUUCUCACCAACAUGGCAAGGACUUGCUGAUAUACGUAGUCUUGCCCCUUGCUCAGGGGCACUAAUGUUUGCUCCAUCCAAUAUAAGGGACUGCUCAAAAGUUUCACAAACCAAAUUGCAACGGGGAAGUAGCAUUCAGCCACAAGCUGGUUCCCUUCAAUGGAAUUAUUCCCCUGUCAUUCUUACACCUCAGUUAGGUGACAGUAAGGGCUCCCAUGAGCUCACUUCAGACAGUGCACUCUGUGAUAUAAUAGAGGAUGAAGAUAUGCCUGAGAUUCUCAAGGACACUUCUACCCCUCUCAAGGCAGUGAAAGCUAGCUCGCCAAAUCAGAAACAGGUGAUGCCUCCACAUUGUCGAUCGGAUGGUCAAAGGUCAAGCUCUCCACAUGGCAUGAGAAGUGUCCGGAAAUUCAUUUUGCAGACGAUGCCUCCUUUCCCUCCUCUUACCCCAUACAGUAAUUCUAAAGGCCGUGUCAACCAAAAAGAAAAUGAUCAGAAAAAUAAUAUUGGCAAUCAUUGAUUUGAUUGCAUGGAGUUGGCAUUGGCUAGUAAACUGCUUUGAACUUUAUGAGUGCAGCUGGAGACAGCCUUUAUAUUGAAUCCCACUCUAAGAAGUAGAAAGACUCAAUUCUUUAUUAUAGAUGGAUGUGGCAUAUGAAUAAGAACAGAUUAUGUUGCUUUCAAGAACCCUGGCUGCAAGGGGCAACCUAAGCAUGGAAUAACAGUCCAAAGAAAUAGAUUUUCUAAAAAUUGUAUCUGAUAAUGUAUUAGAACUGUGGAAUAAACUACAUUCACAAAACAUCAUCUGAAAAAUGAAUGACUUACAAGUGUGGGUUCCAUAUGGAGCUUUAGGAUGAUUUUGUUUCACACAAAGACAAAGUCUCAAACAAACAUUUUUUUUGAACAUUAUAACAUUUUCUUUUUAGUGUAAGUAUGUUCAAAAGUAAAUCUACUUUGGACUUCUACACAAUUUGAGCAUUGCAUAUUAAAAUGAACAAAAAUAUUAUGAGUCAUUAGAGCCAUUGGCGUAUGUAGAGUUCGGAAGAAUAAAAAAAAGGUCAUACACAGUG